rnacentral:rRNA from 1 species
GACAGAGGGGCAAGCGUUGCUCGGAAUUACUGGGCGUAAAGGGCGCGUAGGCGGGAUGGCAAGUCGGUCGUGAAAUCCUUCGGCUCAACCGAAGAACGUCGAUCGAUACUGCUGUUCUAGAGGGUUGCAGAGGAGACUGGAAUUCCCGGAUGUAGCGGUGAAAUGUGUAGAGAUCGGGAGGAACGACCGGUGGCGAAGGCGGGU